rnacentral:misc_RNA from 1 species
GAUGAAGAACGCAGCGAAAUGCGAUAAUUAAUGUGAAUUGCAGAAUUCAGUGAAUCAUCGAGUCUUUGAACGCACAUUGCGCCCCCUGGUAUUCCGGGGGGCAUGCCUGUCCGAGCGUCAUUGCUGCCCUCAAGCACGGCUUGUGUGUUGGGCUUCCGUCCCUGGUAACGGGGACGGGCCCAAAAGGCAGUGGCGGCACCAUGUCUGGUCCUCGAGCGUAUGGGGCUUUGUCACCCGCUCCCGUAGGUCCAGCUGGCAGCUAGCCUCGCAACCAAUCUUUUUAACCAGGUUGACCUCGGAUCAGGUAGGGAUACCCGCUGAACUUAAGCAUAUCAAUAAGCGGAGGA